CCUACGGGAGGCAGCAGUGGGGAAUAUUGCACAAUGGGGGAAACCCUGAUGCAGCGACGCCGCGUGAGCGAAGAAGUAUUUCGGUAUGUAAAGCUCUAUCAGCAGGGAAGCAAAUGACGGUACCUGAGUAAGAAGCUCCGGCUAAAUACGUGCCAGCAGCCGCGGUAAUACGUAUGGAGCCAGCGUUAUCCGGGUUUACUGGGUGUAAGGGGAGCGCAGGCGGCCUUGCAAGUUUGAGGUGAAAUACCGGGGCUCAACCCCGGAGCUGCAUUGGAAACUGUGAUGCUGGAGUGUCGGAGAGGCAUGCGGAAUUCCUAGUGUAGCGGUGAAAUGCGUAGAUAUUAGGAGGAACACCAGGGGCGAAGGCGGCCUGCUGGACGAUGACUGACGCUGAGGCUCGAAAGCGUGGGGAGCAAACAGGAUUAGAUACCCCUGUAGUC
rnacentral:rRNA from 1 species